GUCACACGCCCUGGGUAAUGGGGCCUGGUAUUUCAAGCUCUCUUUGGGGACUGGGAAUAUAGCGGAAAGUCUUAGAGUGCUGUUCUGGGCAUGGCUUUGUGACUAACUAGCCUGCAACCUUAGUCCAGGAACCUAUUCUGUGACUCUUUUCUUACCUGUGGAAUAAUAGGCUAGGUGAGUUCUAAGUUUCACAAGUAUGCAAUGCAUUUUCUGUUUUUCAGAGUGAACUAAUACGAGAAACCAACUCUGUAGAUGACAAGGUUAAUGAAAAUCUUAGACAGAUUGAUUGAGGACAUUGCAGCAGCCACAGAGACGUGAAAGAGGACUGCUGGAACUGCUUCAGAAGGCAGCAAGACCCGCGGGAGAACUGUCUGAAGUGAGGGAGGAAUACUUUGCGGGUGAUUAGUGGCGGAGAUCCAGCCCAUACCUGCUGUGACUACGGCAAGACCAGAAGUCGCUGUCAGGCGGUGGCACCCUGCACCCUGUUCCCGUGAUCAGAGCACCCUUGAUUGUGAGGACCCCCCUGUCUGGGGGCUGGACGUGGCCCUCGCUGUGUGGUUGGCCCUGCUGGCCCUAGUGCAAACACCGGGUGCUCAGAAUGUGUCAAGCUUUCAUUGUCCACAACACGGAAGGGCAGAGACAAGAUGAGGAACAAGGAUGCAGGUCAUUGGUGACCAGAACACAAAUGCUUCCAUUAUUUCAUUCUUCCCCGAAGUCUGUGAUCGACUGGGGCAGGAGAUGCUCUGGGUUUUACAGAUGGAGACGCUAAGGUCCCAAGAAGGUGACCAUGCCAGUUGGCACAGCAAGCUACUAAGCUGGCACUGGGAUGGUGGUGGUUGUGGCUCUACCUCACCGAGCACAGGUCUCCAGUUGCAGUUGUCACAUUUCAAGGGCUCAAUAGCCACAUGUGCAUCUUAGUGGAAGCCCCACCUGGAUCAAGGCAUGAGAACAUAAACACCGCCUCUCGAUGGGAGAAGGGCCAAGCUGG
rnacentral:lncRNA from 1 species